UGUCGAAACUUCGCUUCUGGCCUCUGCUUCUGAAUCUAUUUCUACCAGAGCCACCCCGCCGCCCACCUCUGGAGCUUGAGAAGCUUCGGCCAUUUCCUCCACUUCCUCCUCCUCCUCGCUGUGAUUCUACUAACUCAGGUACAUUCUUACUGGCAUUUUCUGAAAAUGUGGGCAUAAAACCCUGCAGCACAUUCCCUGCUCCACAACUGACCAUGUUACCAAAACUCUGCCAGGUAACUGAACCUCAACCAGCUGCUUUAUAAGCUGUAUUCUGUAACUGAACUACUGAAUAAAACAUGAAGAUUUUACAUGCUGUUUACAUGCUACAUUACAUCUGAGUGCUCAGAAGAAAACUAUACUUUACCGCUUUCUGUUCCACGUAUCUUAACUGAUGUUCUUCCUUUCGCUGAUAAAAACAGAUACAGAUCCCAGUCCGUCCUGCUCGACCUGUACGCCCAGAGCGAUGGAUAUAGGACUCCACAUCCUUCAAAAUGAAUAGCCUUAUGACUUAUCUAA